GAUGAACGCUGGCGGCGUGCCUAAUACAUGCAAGUCGAGCGAACAGACGAGGAGCUUGCUCCUCUGACGUUAGCGGCGGACGGGUGAGUAACACGUGGAUAACCUACCUAUAAGACUGGGAUAACUUCGGGAAACCGGAGCUAAUACCGGAUAAUAUAUUGAACCGCAUGGUUCAAUAGUGAAAGACGGUUUUGCUGUCACUUAUAGAUGGAUCCGCGCCGCAUUAGCUAGUUGGUAAGGUAACGGCUUACCAAGGCAACGAUGCGUAGCCGACCUGAGAGGGUGAUCGGCCACACUGGAACUGAGACAGGGUCCAGACUCCUACGGGAGGCAGCAGUAGGGAAUCUUCCGCAAUGGGCGAGAGCCUGACGGAGCAACGCCGCGUGAGUGAUGAAGGUCUUCGGAUCGUAAAACUCUGUUAUUAGGGAAGAACAAAUGUGUAAGUAACUAUGCACGUCUUGACGGUACCUAAUCAGAAAGCCACGGCUAACUACGUG
rnacentral:rRNA from 1 species